CUUAGUAACUGCGAGUGAAGCGGCAAAAGCUCAAAUUUGUAAUCUGGCGUCUCCGGCGCCCGAGUUGUAAUUUGGAGAGGCACCUUCGGGGGGAGCGCCGGCCUAAGUUCCUUGGAACAGGACGUCACAGAGGGUGAGAAUCCCGUGUUCGGCCGGCUGCCUUCUUCCAUGUGAAGCGCCUUCGACGAGUCGAGUUGUUUGGGAAUGCAGCUCUAAAUGGGUGGUAAACUCCAUCUAAAGCUAAAUAUUGGCGGGAGACCGAUAGCGCACAAGUAGAGUGAUCGAAAGAUGAAAAGCACUUUGAAAAGAGAGUUAAAAAGUACGUGAAAUUGUUGAAAGGGAAGCGCUUGAGACCAGACUCGGCCGGAGGCCAUCAGGCCCGGUUCUCCGGGCUGCACUUGCCUCUGGUCGGGCCAGCAUCGGUUGCGACGGCGGGAUAAAGGUCCGGGGAAUGUGGCUCCUCUCGGGGAGUGUUAUAGCCCCGGGCGCCAUGCCGCCUGUCGCGACCGAGGACCGCGCUUCGGCUAGGAUGCUGGCGUAAUGGUCUUCAGCGACCCGUCUUGAAACACGGACCAAGGAGUCUAACAUCUAUGCGAGUGUUCGGGUGGAAAACCCUUGCGCGUAAUGAAAGUGAACGGAGGUGUGAAGCCGCAAGGCCGCAACAUCGACCGAUCCUGAUGUCUUCGGAUGGAUUUGAGUAGGAGCAUAGCUGUUGGGACCCGAAAGAUGGUGAACUAUGCCUGAAUAGGGUGAAGCCAGAGGAAACUCUGGUGGAGGCUCGCAGCGGUUCUGACGUGCAAAUCGAUCGUCAAAUUUGGGUAUAGGGGCGAAAGACUAAUCGAACCAUCUAGUAGCUGGUUCUG
rnacentral:rRNA from 1 species